UUACUGACCUGGCAGGGAAGAUUCCCUUCUUCUUGGCCUUGAAUGACUCGAUGUAGUUGAGGGUGGAGACCUGGCCAUUGCAAUGAGGGUAGGCACCCCUACGACAGUGUGCUUUAGCUUCCCAAUGGGAAGAUCUCGGCUAUACAAUUUAUGGUGAUGGGGGAUUGCUCUUGGGCUCUCCCUCU
rnacentral:snRNA from 14 species